rnacentral:rRNA from 1 species
UACAGAGGGGGCAAGCGUUGUUCGGAAUUACUGGGCGUAAAGGGCGCGUAGGCGGCCUUCUAAGUCGAACGUGAAAUCCCCGGGCUCAACCCGGGAACUGCGUCCGAUACUGGAAGGCUUGAAUCCGGGAGAGGGAUGCGGAAUUCCAGGUGUAGCGGUGAAAUGCGUAGAUAUCUGGAGGAACACCGGUGGCGAAGGCGGCAUCCUGGACCGGUAUUAACGCUGAGGCGCGAAAGCCAGGGGAGCAAACGGG